rnacentral:rRNA from 1 species
GACGAACGCUGGCGGCGUGCCUAAUACAUGCAAGUCGUGCGGACCUUUUAAAAGCUUGCUUUUAAAAGGUUAGCGGCGGACGGGUGAGUAACACGUGGGCAACCUGCCUGUAAGACUGGGAUAACGCCGGGAAACCGGGGCUAAUACCGGAUCGUUUUUCCUCCGCAUGGAGGAAUAAGGAAAGGCGGCUUCGGCUGCCACUUACAGAUGGUCCCGCGGCGCAUUGGCUAGUUGGCGGGGUAACGGCCCACCAAGGCAACGCUGCGUAGCCGACCUGAGAGGGUGAUCGGCCACAUUGGGACUGAGACACGGCCCAAACUCCUACGGGAGGCAGCAGUAGGGAAUCUUCCGCAAUGGACGAAAGUCUGACGGAGCAACGCCGCGUGAGUGAAGAAGGCCUUCGGGUCGUAAAACUCUGUUGCCGGGGAAGAACAAGUGCCGUUCGAACAGGGCGGCGCCUUGACGGUACCCGGCCAGAAAGCCACGGCUAACUACGUG